UUUUAUCAAACAAUAACCUUAAUGUUAACUGACUGGCUGUUCAUUCAAACAACUCAUAUCGUUGCGAUGAGCUAACGUUCGCUAAUAUAUAGCUUGUGUCGACAGGCAGAACGAACUAGCAUGUUGCGUGCUAACUUUAGGACAAACAACAUGCUAGCUAGCCAUCUGUCAAGCUUGCCAAGCAACCAUCUUGACUGAAAUUGCUACAAGUCAUUCGUUCAAUUACUUUCUGUCUUUGUAAAGAUGCAGGGAAGCAAUUGCUGAACAUCCCAAAGAAACCUUCUAGAAGACUUCAUCUCCCACACAUAGGAGCUGAUAUCAUGGCAAUGGAGUGCGGCUGUGAUCGGUGCCAACGGAGAGAUGAAGGUUUUCUACAACCAGAACCUCAGUCCCAGCAAAGGUGUCCUGUCCCUGGUGACAGUCCACCCACAGUCUCUCUCUGUGGGGAAACAACUGCUUCCCAAAACCCUGGGGCCCUCCAACGUCAACAUCGCCACACACAU